rnacentral:rRNA from 1 species
UACGUAGGGUGCGAGCGUUGUCCGGAAUUACUGGGCGUAAAGAGCUCGUAGGCGGUUUGUCGCGUCGUCUGUGAAAUUCUGCAACUCAAUUGUAGGCGUGCAGGCGAUACGGGCAGACUUGAGUACUACAGGGGAGACUGGAAUUCCUGGUGUAGGCGGUGAAAUGCGCAGAGUAUCAAGGAGGAACACCGGUGGCGAAGGCGGCGCUCUGGGGCCGGUACUGACACUGAGGAGCGAAAGCGUGGUAGCAAACAGG